rnacentral:tRNA from 2 species
GGAGUAGUACUCAAGUGGCUGAAGAGGUGCCCCUGCUAAGGGUAUAGGUCGGGCAACCGGCGCGAGGGUUCAAAUCCCUCCUGCUCCGCCA